UACAGAGGGGGCAAGCGUUGUUCGGAAUUACUGGGCGUAAAGGGCGCGUAGGCGGCCUUCUAAGUCGAACGUGAAAUCCCCGGGCUCAACCCGGGAACUGCGUCCGAUACUGGAUGGCUUGAAUCCGGGAGAGGGAUGCAGAAUUCCAGGUGUAGCGGUGAAAUGCGUAGAUAUCUGGAGGAAUACCGGGGGCGAAGGCGGCAUCCUGGACCGGCAUUGACGCUGAGUGAGCGAAAGCUAGGGGAGCAAACGGG
rnacentral:rRNA from 1 species